AACAGAAAUAUACCGCCCCGUGCGAAAGCAUAGGGAAGAGGCCUGUAUACAGGCUUCUUCGGACGCUUCUGUAUAGAAGAAGCGUUUGGUAAGGGUGGAAGGGUGGUGUAAGGGACCACCGCCUCCGCGGUAACGAGGAGGGCACAUGUAAACCCCAUCCGAAGCAAGACCAAACAGGGAACCAUAGAUUUGCCCGGUCUGUUCCCAGGUAGGUCGCUUGAGGCUGAUGGCAACGUCAGUCCUAGAUAGAUGAUCAUUCGUGCCGCUGUAAAAAUAGCGGCACCGACAUAACCCGGCUUAUCGCUGCGGUUGCCGA
rnacentral:RNase_P_RNA from 1 species